UAGAUGAUUUAGAGACGCGAUCCUGUUUCUUACAUUUCCAAGAGAUUAAUGCAUCACCCAAAAACAUACACCAACCCGUAGUAGAACAACACGUAUUCGGACACCCAGCCCAAUCAGCAUCACUGUAGGCAGAAAGCUGAAGAGACGACCCUUUAGGAAAAAUAACGCACGAGUGGAUGAUCCGCGAAUAUAGCGAAUAAUACGAUGAACGGUCGCAAGAUGAAGAUGCCGAAGUGAAGACAUAAACUGGCUGACCUGAUGAACGGCAUAAGAGAUAUCUAGGCGAGUGGUAAUCAAAUAGAUGAGACUCCCAACGAGGCGACGAUAUAGAGUAGGAUCGUCUAGAAGAUCCCCUUCAUCUUUCCGAUACUUUACAUUGACUUCCAUAGGAGUAUCCAUAGAAGAAGACUUCUCCAACCCAGCUAACACAAUAAGAUCCUGAAUAUACUAAUGCUGGUUUAAGAAAAUACCAUUGGGCUGAUGAUGAACUUCGCGUCCUAAGAAGUAUGUGAGUUGGCCUAGAUCUUUCAUGUGAAAAGUUGCAUGUAAUAACUUUUGAAGCUUUGAAAUAAAACCACAAUCAGUGCCAGUAAUAAUGAUAUCAUCCACAUAAACCAAGAGAAGUACAAUACCAGAGGUAGACUUGUGGAAAAAGAGAGAAGAAUCAUACUGACUCUGUGCAAAACUAAAGGUAAUGAGUGUGCUACGAAACUUCUCAAACCAAGCCCGGGGAGCAUGCUUGAGUCCAUACAAAGAACGUCGUAGUCUACAAACAUCAUGAGGAGAUGAAGUAGUCAUACCAGAAGGAGCUUCAUAUAAAUCUCUUCGUGAAGAUCGCCGUGAAGAAAGGCAUUCUUAACAUCUAAUUGAUGUAAGUUCCAUGACUGCGAGGCAGCAAUAGCUAGGAUCGUCCUGAUUGUCAUCAUUUUGGCGAUAGGAGCAAAUGUCUCCUCAUAGUCAACCCCAUAUUCCUAUCUGUUACCCAGAAUCAGAUCGCAAGAUCUUAAUGAUGCUAGAAAAUUGAGUCUCAACAAGAGCAAGGAAACGCUUAAAGACUGAAAAGACUUCUAAUUUGGCUCUUAAAAAAU
rnacentral:lncRNA from 1 species